CGAGCACGCGCGUGUGGCAUAUCAAUAAGCGGAGGAAAAGAAACUAACAAGGAUUCCCUUAGUAACGGCGAGUGAAGCGGGAAGAGCUCAAAUUUGAAAUCUUCAAGGUUCUGACCUUGACGAAUUGUAGUUUAUAAGAAGUGUUUUCUGUUAGUGGAGUGGCAAAAGUUCUUUGGAAUAGGACAUCAUAGAGGGUGAGAAUCCCGUAUUUGGUCAUUCCUCCUAGCGUUGUGAUACACUUUCAACGAGUCGGAUUGUUUGGGAAUGCAGUCCAAAAUGGGUGGUAAAUUUCAUCUAAAGCUAAAUAUUGGCGAGAGACCGAUAGCGAACAAGUACCGUGAGGGAAAGAUGAAAAGAACUUUGAAAAGAGAGUUAAACAGUACGUGAAAUUGUCAAAAGGGAAGCGUUUGACACCAGUGUUGUUUUUCCGAAAAUCAAUUACGAAUGUUUUGUUUUUGAGAAGUUAUGACUUCAUCGGCUUGCUCUCUUCUUUACUGAAACUUUCUUAAUGCACUUUUCGGUUAACAAGUCAACAUCAAUUUCUUUUGUUGUAAAAGGGUAUGAGGAAGGUGGCUUUCUUUUCGGAGAAAGUGUUUAUAGCCUUGUGCCUCUGCAAUCGGAGAGACUGAGGUCUGCAGCGUAGAUCCUUCGGGGUUAGAUACGUUUGUGCUAAGUUAUAGCUUUUCAUAGACAACUUGUUGACUAUGUUAAGUCUUGUAGCUUACUCGCUUAUGCUAUUUUACCUACGCUUAGGAUGUUGAGUAGCGACAUACGCAC
rnacentral:rRNA from 1 species